UACGUAGGGGGCAAGCGUUAUCCGGAAUUACUGGGUGUAAAGGGUGAGUAGGCGGUUAGAUAAGCCAUAUGUGAAAGUCUGUAGCUCAACUAUAGAAUUGCAUAAGGAACUGUUUGACUAGAGUGCAGGAGAGGUAAGUGGAAUUCCUAGUGUAGCGGUGAAAUGCGUAGAUAUUAGGAGGAACACCAGUGGCGAAGGCGACUUACUGGACUGAAACUGACGCUGAGUCACGAAAGCGUGGGGAGCAAACAGG
rnacentral:rRNA from 1 species